AGACAGAUGAGCCACCUAAGAGAAGCAGCUGAGCUGUCUGGCACUUUGUGACUUAGCCUCUGGAGGCCACAGCACCCCUUCUACUACGCCGGUGUUCUACAGAGUCACAGAGCACAAGUCGGAGAAAAGAGGGAUUGGCAUCUUUCUUGAUGGGAAUCAUGUCAGAGAGGCAGCCCUGGGUGCCACAGGACUUGCAGCUGUGUGCCCUCCAGACCUCCAUUCUACCCAAACCUCAGCCAGAGCCCUGGGCAUCUUUGAAAGUCUGUUCACUUCCACCUCCUGCAAAGUUAGUACUUCAGCCAAGUGGCUCCCGAUCAUGUGCUCACACACCUGAAACGUCAGGUCUGGACGGUGGGCACAGAGAGCAGCAACGGACGACUGGGUGGCUCUCUGAAGACAUGAGAACAUUCAAAGCCCUGACAAAGUCUGUGACCUGGACCUAGCCGUCCAUUUCAACAUUCGCUUGAAACACUUGAAAGAAGUCUCAGGGGACUUUGAAGUCAUUCUCCCAAUGGAAGGGUUGGAAGCUGAUAGUCAUCACACCCCAAGGUAGGAGGGAUGCUUGGCUUCCUUGGGCCCCUGUUCUAGCAGGAGAGAAGGAACAUAGGAUCCGGUACAAGGAAGGGCAAAGGCUAGCACAGAACUUCCACAAGAGCUACUCAGUCUAACAAAAGCCAGCUUUAUGCACUUUCUAGAAUAACUUCACAUCUGACACCUAGCCCAUGCAAGAGAAGGACCGGGAAGAGCUGGUCUUCAUUCCAUCCUUGUAUAGCAGAGGCCAAGGCUGGAAUUCAAAGCCUGCCAAGCAAGCUCUCGGCCUCUGUUCUAGUGACCAGUGAGCUCCUAAGAAAGAAGCUCUCAUCUGCCUUCCCAGGGAGAGUGUCUCUGUGGGCUGAGGGAGAGCUCAGCGGUGGAGCUUGCCCAGGAGUUUGCAAGGCCUCAAGUUUGAUCUCUGGCCCCACC
rnacentral:lncRNA from 1 species